rnacentral:rRNA from 1 species
AUCUCAGAUCAGGUGAGGUUACCCCCUGAAUUUAAAGCAUAU